GUCUAUGGCCAUGCCACCCUUAACAAGCCCUACGCAUGAUCUCGGAAGCUAAGCAGGGUCGGGCCUGGUUAGUACUUGGAUGGGAGACCACCUAGGAAGACCAGGAGCUGUAGGCA
rnacentral:rRNA from 1 species